rnacentral:rRNA from 1 species
UCCGUAGGUGAACCUGCGGAAGGAUCAUUAAAAAAAGAGAAACGUCCCGUUUUUUUCAUAAGAAUGGGUUCUAUUCCCUUAAACCGUGUCUACAUACCUUUGUUGCUUUGGCAGGCCGCCUUCGGGCGUCGGCUCCGGCUGAUAGUGCCUGCCAGAGGACCCAAACUCUAUGUUUAGUGAUGUCUGAGUACUAUAUAAUAUUUAAAACUUUCAACAACGGAUCUCUUGGUUCUGGCAUCGAUGAAGAACGCAGCGAAAUGCGAUAAGUAAUGUGAAUUGCAGAAUUCAGUGAAUCAUCGAAUCUUUGAACGCACAUUGCGCCCCUUGGUAUUCCGAGGGGCAUGCCUGUUCGAGCGUCAUUAUAACCACUCAAGCCUGGCUUGGUAUUGGGGUUUUCGCGUGUUCGCGGCCCUUAAAAUCAGUGGCGGUGCCGUCUGGCUCUAAGCGUAGUAAUUUCUCUCGCUAUAGGGUUCCGGUGGUUACUUGCCAAAACCCCCCAUUUUUUCUAGGUUGACCUCGGAUCAGGUAGGGAUACCCGCUGAACUUAA